rnacentral:tRNA from 1 species
GGAGUUUUAGCUCAGUGGUAGGGCACCUGCUUAGCAUGCAGGAGGUCCUAGGUUCAAUCCCCAGUACCUCCA